CCAUAAGAUUGGCCUGCCUUGUCUGUGCCCAUAAGAUUGGCCUGCUUAGUCUGUGCCCAUAAGAUUGGCCUGCCGUGGCAGUGCCCAUAAGAUUGACCUACUCGGUCUGGGCCAUAAGAUUGACCUGCCUUACCUGUGCCCAUAAGUCUGUUUGACCUCUACUACAUACAUAUAUAUUUGGCACCUAGACCCGUACGGCUGCUGGCCGAAGAUAACAUAUAGAGGUUUUUUUUCUACUGGGAUCACAUAUAACACUAGCGCCAAUCUCAAUUACUCCAGUAUAUCCGGGUGACAUGUGUUUUUUCUACCCCCCAGGCUCACUCUGAGGUCAAGAUGGACACUCCUACCCAAGAGAGCCUACAGGCUAUGAUCAACGCGGCCGUUGCCACUUCAGUGGAGAAAGCACUCUCGCGCGCACUACCUAGACCAUCCCAGGACAGGGAUGUACCGGAGACUCAGUGCACACUGAUGGAUUCCGACCCUGGCUCCCCGGACGGAGAACAGGCACGCCCCCCCCAAACGCUGCUGGAAGGGUGAAGACCCGGAACCGAGUUCCCGGAACGGUAAGGCCCCUGCAAAAAGACCUAAGGGGGCGAUUGCCUCGCCUUCAACACACCGACGAUAUUAUCUCCCUCGAGAGGAGGAAGAGUUCCCCCCACCUACACCCCUGUCCGUCCUAGACGAAUGGCGGCCAGAUCAAUCCCCCUCAGAGGACGAAGGGGGCUGGGACAUAGAGGAACCGGAGGAUUCAGCGUACUGGCAGGACGCUGAUGAAGAGGCCUCACUACAUUUACACCCCUCCUUAGAGGAGGACGUUUUCCUGGACUCGUCAGGCGAACCUUUAUUUGAUCCACGCUCCAUCCGGCACCCCAGAUCUCCUGAGUGGUCACUACCGGACCACCUAGCCCAG